GGAGGGGGCUAGCGUUGUCCGAAGUUACUGGGCGUAAAGCGCGCGUAGGCGGGUUGGUAAGUCCGCUGUGAAAGCCCGGAGCUCAACUCCGGAGGGUCGGUGGAUACUGCCAGUCUUGAAGGUGCUAGGGGGAGAUGGAAUUACCGGUGUAGCGGUGAAAUGCGUAGAUAUCGGUAGGAACACCAGUGGCGAAGGCGGUCUCCUGGGGCAUUCUUGACGCUGAGGCGCGAAAGCUGGGGGAGCGAACGGGAUUAGAUACCCCGGUAGUCCCAGCCCUAAACGAUGAAUACUAGGUGUCGGGGGUAUCGACCCCUCCGGUGCCGCCGCUAACGCAGUAAGUAUUCCGCCUGGGGAGUACGGCCGCAAGGUUG
rnacentral:rRNA from 1 species